AUUGAACGCUGGCGGCAGGCCUAACACAUGCAAGUCGAACGGUAACAGGAAGAAGCUUGCUUCUUUGCUGACGAGUGGCGGACGGGUGAGUAAUGUCUGGGAAACUGCCUGAUGGAGGGGGAUAACUACUGGAAACGGUAGCUAAUACCGCAUAACGUCGCAAGACCAAAGAGGGGGACCUUCGGGCCCCUUGCCAUCGGAUGUGCCCAGAUGGGAUUAGCUAGUAGGUGGGGUACCGGCUCACCUAGGCGACGAACCCUAGCUGGUCUGAGAGGAUGACCAGCCACACUGGAACUGAGACACGGUCCAGACUCCUACGGGAGGCAGCAGUGGGGAAUAUUGCACAAGGGGCGCAAGCCUGAUGCAGCCAUGCCGCGUGUAUGAAGAAGGCCUUCGGGUUGUAAAGUACUUUCAGCGGGGAGGAAGGGAGUAAAUUUAAUACCGUAGCUCAUUGACGUUACCCGCAGAAGAAGCACCGGCUAACUCCGUG
rnacentral:rRNA from 1 species